UCCCCGUUGACGGGGGCCCGCACAAGCGGUGGAGCAUGUGGUUCAAUUCGACGCAACGCGAAGAACCUUACCUGGGCUCGAACGGCUCACGAAAAGCUGUGGAAACACGGUUUUCCCGCAAGGGACGGGAGUCGAGGUGCUGCAUGGCUGUCGUCAGCUCGUGUCGUGAGAUGUUGGGUUAAGUCCCGCAACGAGCGCAACCCUUGUCCUGUGUUACCAUCAUUCAGUUGGGAACUCGCAGGAGACCGCCAGCGAUAAGCUGGAGGAAGGUGGGGAUGACGUCGCGGCAUUAGCCA
rnacentral:misc_RNA from 1 species